GAUCAUGGCUCCGGAUGAACGCUAGCUACAGGCUUAACACAUGCAAGUCGAGGGGAAACGACAUCGAAAGCUUGCUUUUGAUGGGCGUCGACCGGCGCACGGGUGAGUAACGCGUAUCCAACCUGCCCAUCACUUGGGAAUAACCUUGCGAAAGUAAGACUAAUGCCCAAUGAUAUCCCACGAAGGCAUCCGAAUGGGAUUAAAGGUUUAUCGGUGAUGGAUGGGGAUGCGUCUGAUUAG
rnacentral:rRNA from 1 species